GGAUGCGAUCAUACCAGCACUAAAGCACCGGAUCCCAUCAGAACUCCGAAGUUAAGCGUAACUUCGUGCUUGGGCGAGAGUAGUACUAGGAUGGGUGACCUCCUGGGAAGUCCUCGUGUUGUAUUCC
rnacentral:rRNA from 2 species